UACAGAGGGGGCCAGCGUUAUUCGGAAUUAUUGGGCGUAAAGGGCGCGUAGGCGGCCAUGCGUGUCUUCCGUGAAAUCCCUCAGCUUAACUGGGGAACUGCGUGUGAUACUGGAUGGCUUGGAUGUGGGAGAGGGAUGCGGAAUUCCAGGUGUAGCGGUGAAAUGCGUAGAUAUCUGGAGGAACACCGGUGGCGAAGGCGGCAUCCUGGACCAUUAUUGACGCUGAGGAGCGAAAGCCAGGGGAGCAAACGGG
rnacentral:rRNA from 1 species